rnacentral:tRNA from 1 species
GAGAGAGGCCAGAAGCGAUAAGGACUGCUAACCCCUA